rnacentral:rRNA from 1 species
CACGUAGGGCGCAAGCGUUGUCCGGAAUUAUUGGGCGUAAAGAGCUCGUAGGCGGUCUGUUACGUCUGCUGUGAAAACCCGGGGCUUAACCCUGGGCUUGCAGUGGAUACGGGCAGACUAGAGGCAGGUAGGGGAUAAUGGAAUUCCCGGUGUAGCGGUGAAAUGCGCAGAUAUCGGGAGGAACACCGGUGGCGAAGGCGACUACCUGGCCUGUUCUUGACGCUGAGGCGCGAAAGCUAGGGGAGCAAACGGG